AUUGAACGCUGGCGGCAUGCCUUACACAUGCAAGUCGAACGGUAACAGGUCUUCGGAUGCUGACGAGUGGCGAACGGGUGAGUAAUACAUCGGAACGUGCCAGAGAGUGGGGGAUAACGAAGCGAAAGCUUUGCUAAUACCGCAUACGAUCUCAGGAUGAAAGCAGGGGAACGCAAGGCCUUGCGCUCACGGAGCGGCCGAUGGCAGAUUAGGUAGUAGGUGGGAUAAAAGCUUACCAAGCCGACGAUCUGUAGCUGGUCUGAGAGGACGACCAGCCACACUGGGACUAAGACACGGCCCAGACGCCUACGGGAGGAAGCAGUGGGGAAUUUUGGACAAUGGGCGGAAGCCUGAUCCAGCCAUGCCGCGUGCAGGAUGAAGGCCUUCGGGUUGUAAACUGCUUUUGUACGGAACGAAAAGACUCCUUCUAAUAAAUGGUGUCCAUGACGGUACCGUAAGAAUAAGCACCGGCUAACUACGUGCCAGCCGCCGCGGUAACAC
rnacentral:rRNA from 1 species